GCCCGCAUGGCUCAGUGGUAGAGCGUGUCACUAGUAAAGCUAGGCAAUGACAAGGUCGCUAGUUCGAUUCUGGCUGUGGGCA
rfam:Myceliophthora thermophila ATCC 42464 chromosome 3, complete sequence.